rnacentral:rRNA from 1 species
ACUCCUACGGGAGGCAGCAGUGGGGAAUAUUGCACAAUGGGCGCAAGCCUGAUGCAGCGACGCCGCGUGAGGGAUGAAGGCCUUCGGGUUGUAAACCUCUUUCAGUAGGGAAGAAGCGAAAGUGACGGUACCUGCAGAAGAAGCGCCGGCUAACUACGUGCCAGCAGCCGCGGUAAUACGUAGGGCGCAAGCGUUAUCCGGAAUUAUUGGGCGUAAAGAGCUCGUAGGCGGUUUGUCGCGUCUGCCGUGAAAGUCCGGGGCUUAACUCCGGAUCUGCGGUGGGUACGGGCAGACUUGAGUGAUGUAGGGGAGACUGGAAUUCCUGGUGUAGCGGCGAAAUGCGCAGAUAUCAGGAGGAACACCGAUGGCGAAGGCAGGUCUCUGGGCAUUAACUGACGCUGAGGAGCGAAAGCAUGGGGAGCGAACAGGAUUAGAUACCCUGGUAGUCCAUGCCGUAAACGUUGGGCACUAGGUGUGGGGGACAUUCCACGUUUUCCGCGCCGUAGCUAACGCAUUAAGUGCCCCGCCUGGGGAGUACGGCCGCAAGGCUAAAACUCAAAGGAAUUGACGGGGGCCCGCACAAGCGGCGGAGCAUGCGGAUUAAUUCGAUGCAACGCGAAGAACCUUACCAAGGCUUGACAUGAACCGGAACGGCGCAGAGAUGUGUCGGCCACUUGUGGCCGGUUUACAGGUGGUGCAUGGUUGUCGUCAGCUCGUGUC